rnacentral:rRNA from 1 species
CCUACGGGUGGCAGCAGUCGAGAAUUAUUCACAAUGGGGGAAACCCUGAUGGUGCGACGCCGCGUGGGGGAAUGAAGGUCUUCGGAUUGUAAACCCCUGUCGUGUGGGAGCAAAUUAUAAAGAUAGUACCACAAGAGGAAGACACGGCUAACUCUGUGCCAGCAGCCGCGGUAAUACGGAGGAUGCGAGGGUUAUCCGGAUUUAUUGGGUUUAAAGGGUGCGUAGGCGGGUUUUUAAGUCGGCGGUAAAAUGUCCGGGCUAAACCCGGGCCGGCCGUUGAAACUGGGGAGCUUGAGUGGGCGAGAAGGAUGCGGAAUGCGUGGUGUAGCGGUGAAAUGCAUAGAUAUCACGAAGAACUCCGAUUGCGAAGGCAGCAUACCGGCGCCAGACUGACGCUGAGGCACGAAAGCGUGGGGAUCGAACAGGAUUAGAUACCCCUGUAGUC